rnacentral:rRNA from 1 species
GUACUGCGAGUGAAGCGGGAAAGGCUCAAAUUUAAAAUCUGAUGGUCUUUGAUCAUCCGAGUUGUAAUCUAGAGAAGUGUCUUCCGCGCCGGACCAUGCAUAAGUCUCCUGGAACGGAGCGUCAUAGAGGGUGAGAAUCCCGUCUUUGGCAUGGAACCUCCCGGGGCUUCUGUGAUGCACUCUCGAAGAGUCGAGUUGUUUGGGAAUGCAGCUCAAAAUGGGUGGUGAACUCCAUCUAAAGCUAAACAUUGGCGAGAGACCGAUAGCGAACAAGUACCGUGAGGGAAAGAUGAAAAGCACUUUGGAAAGAGAGUGAAACAGUACGUGAAAUUGUUGAAAGGGAAACGCUUGGAGUCAGUCACGUCGACCGAGACUCAUCCAUUGCCCCUUUGGGCUUGGUGUACUUCUCGGCUGAUGGGCCAGCAUCAAUUUUGUCCCUCAGAUAAUGGCAGGGGAAAGGUGGCACCCUCAUGGGUGUGUUAUAGUCCCCUGUCGCAUGUGAGGGAUGGGAUUGAGGAACUCAGCACGCGCCUCUUGGUGUCCGGGGCUUUGGCCCACGCUUACGUGCUUAGGAUGCUGGCAUAAUGGCUCUAAACGACCCGUCUUGAAACACGGACCAAGGAGUCUAACAUGCCUGCAAGUGUUCGGGUGGAAAACCCGUGUGCGAAAUGAAAGUGAAAGUUGGGACCUCUGUCGUGGAGGGCACCGACGCCCGGACCAGACCUUCUGUGAYGGAUCUGCGGUAGAGCAUGCAUGUUGGGACCCGAAAGAUGGUGAACUAUGCCUGAAUAGGGUGAAGCCAGAGGAAACUCUGGUGGAGGCUCGUAGCGAUUCUGACGUGCAAAUCGAUCGUCAAUUUGGGUAUAGGGGCGAAAGACUAAUCGAACCAUCUA